UACGUAGGGGGCAAGCGUUGUCCGGAUUUAUUGGGCGUAAAAGGCUUGUAGGUGGCCACGCCAAGUCGGAUGUGAAAUCUCCCGGCUCAACUGGGAGGGGUCAUUCGAUACUGGCGGGCUCGAGGCCGGUAGGGGGAAGUGGAAUUCCCGGUGUAGCGGUGAAAUGCGCAGAUAUCAGGAAGAACACCAAUGGCGAAGGCAGCUCUCUGGGACGGUACUGACGCUGAGACGCGAAAGCGUGGGGAGCGAAACAGG
rnacentral:rRNA from 1 species